rnacentral:tRNA from 9 species
GGGCCUUUAGCUCAGUUGGUUAGAGCAGAGGACUCAUAAUCCUUUGGUCGCGGGUUCGAGCCCCGCAGGGCCCACCA